rnacentral:rRNA from 1 species
AGUGAACGCUGGCGGUAGGCCUAACACAUGCAAGUCGAACGGCAGCACAGGAGAGCUUGCUCUCUGGGUGGCGAGUGGCGGACGGGUGAGGAAUACAUCGGAAUCUACUUUUUCGUGGGGGAUAACGUAGGGAAACUUACGAUAAUACCGCAUACACCCUACGGGUGAAAGCAGGGGAUCUUCGGACCUUGCGCGAUUGAAUGAGCCGAUGACAGAUAAGCUAGUUGGCGGGGUAAAGGGCCACCAAGGCGACAAUCCGUAGCUGGUCUGGAAAGAUGAUCAGCCAAACUUGAACUUAGGCCAGGUCCAAACUCCUACUGGGGGCAGCCGUGGGGAAUAGUGGGCAAUGGGCGCAAGCCUUAACCCACCAAACCGCGGGGGUGAAAGAAGCCUUCGGGUUGUUAAGCCCUUUUGUUGGGAAAAAAAACCAGCUGGUUAAAACCCCGUUUGGAUUGACGUACCCAAAGAAUAAGCACCGGCUAACUUCGUGCCAGCCGCCGCCGUAA